GUCUAUGGCCACGUGACCCUGAACUUGCCCCAUCUCCUCUCAUCUUGGAAGCUAAGCAGGGUCAGGCCUGGUUUGUACUUGGAUGGCAGACCGUCUGGGAAUACCAGGUGCUGUAGGCU
ensembl:rRNA 5S_rRNA 5S ribosomal RNA